rnacentral:piRNA from 1 species
UGCAUGCUGGGGUGUGCUGUUC